GAAUAUUGGACAAUGGGCGCAAGCCUGAUCCAGCCAUGCCGCGUGUGUGAAGAAGGCCUUCGGGUUGUAAAGCACUUUCAGCGAGGAGGAAGGGUGUUGUGUUAAUAGCACAGCAUUUUGACGUUACUCGCAGAAGAAGCACCGGCUAACUCUGUGCCAGCAGCCGCGGUAAUACAGAGGGGGCAAGCGUUGUUCGGAAUUACUGGGCGUAAAGGGCGCGUAGGCGGCCUGCUAAGUCGAACGUGAAAUCCCUGGGCUCAACCCAGGAACUGCGUCCGAUACUGGUUGGCUUGAAUCCGGGAGAGGGAUGUGGAAUUCCAGGUGUAGCGGUGAAAUGCGUAGAUAUCUGGAGGAACACCGGUGGCGAAGGCGACAUCCUGGACCGGUAUUGACGCUGAGGCGCGAAAGCCAGGGGAGCAAACGGG
rnacentral:rRNA from 1 species